UGGGGAAUCUUGGACAAUGGGGGCAACCCUGAUCCAGCCAUGCCGCGUGAGUGAUGAAGGCCUUAGGGUUGUAAAGCUCUUUCACCGGUGAAGAUAAUGACGGUAGCCGGAGAAGAAGCCCCGGCUAACUCCGUGCCAGCAGCCGCGGUAAUACGGAGGGGGCUAGCGUUGUUCGGAAUUACUGGGCGUAAAGCGCGCGUAGGCGGACUGAUCAGUCAGGGGUGAAAUCCCGGGGCUCAACCCCGGAACUGCCUCCAAAACUAUUGGUCUAGAGUUCGAGAGAGGUGAGUGGAAUUCCAAAGUGUAGAGGUGAAAUUCGUAGAUAUUUGGAGGAACACCAGUGGCGAAGGCGGCUCACUGGCUCGAUACUGACGCUGAGGUGCGAAAGUGUGGGGAGCAAACAGGAUUAGAUACCCUGGUAGUCCACACCGUAAAACGAUGAAUGCCAGUCGUCGGGUAGCAUGCUAUUCGGUGACACACCUAACGGAUUAAGCAUUCCGCCUGGGAGUACGGUCGCAAGAUUAAAA
rnacentral:rRNA from 1 species